AAGGUGGGGACGACGUCAAGUCAUCAUGCCCCUUAUGUCUUGGGCUGCACACGUGCUACAAUGGCCGGUACAAUGAGCUGCGAUACCGCAAGGUGGAGCGAAUCUCAAAAAGCCGGUCUCAGUUCGGAUUGGGGUCUGCAACUCGACCCCAUGAAGUCGGAGUCGCUAGUAAUCGCAGAUCAGCAUUGCUGCGGUGAAUACGUUCCCGGGCCUUGUACACACCGCCCGUCACGUCACGAAAGUCGGUAACACCCGAAGCCGGUGGCCCAACCCCUUGUGGGAGGGAGCUGUCGAAGGUGGGACUGGCGAUUGGGACGAAGUCGUAACAAGGUAGCCGUACCGGAAGGUGCGGCUGGAUCACCUCCUUUCUA
rnacentral:rRNA from 1 species